UAGGGAAUAUUGCACAAUGGGGGAAACCCUGAUGCAGCGACGCCGCGUGAGUGAUGAAGGCCUUCGGGUCGUAAAGCUCUGUUGAACGGGAAGAAACAAAUGACGGUACCGUUUAAGAAAGGAUCGGCUAACUUCGUGCCAGCAGCCGCGGUAAUACGAGGGAUCCUAGCGUUGUUCGGAAUCAUUGGGCGUAAAGAGUAUGUAGGCGGCCUAGUAAGUCAGUUGUGAAAGCCCCGGGCUCAACCCGGGAAGUGCAAUUGAUACUGCUUGGCUUGAAUGUGGAAGAGGGCAGUAGAAUUCCAGGUGUAGUGGUGAAAUACGUAGAUAUCUGGAGGAAUACCGGUGGCGAAGGCGGCUGCCUGGUCCUACAUUGACGCUGAGAUACGAAAGCGUGGGGAGCAAACAGGAUUAGAUACCCGAGUAGUCCCUGAGCGGGCUGGCAAGGCGCAU
rnacentral:rRNA from 1 species